AUUGAACGCUGGCGGCAUGCCUUACACAUGCGAGUCGAACGGCAGCAUAGGAGCUUGCUCCUGAUGGCGAGUGGCGAACGGGUGAGUAAUAUAUCGGAACGUGCCCUAGAGUGGGGGAUAACUAGUCGAAAGACUAGCUAAUACCGCAUACGAUCUACGGAUGAAAGUGGGGGAUCGCAAGACCUCAUGCUCCUGGAGCGGCCGAUAUCUGAUUAGCUAGUUGGGGGGGUAAAAGCUCACCAAGGCGACGAGCAGUAGCUGGUCUGAGAGGACGACCAGCCACACUGGGACUGAGACACGGCCCAGACUCCUACGGGAGGCAGCAGUGGGGAAUUUUGGACAAUGGGGGCAACCCUGAUCCAGCAAUGCCGCGUGAGUGAAGAAGGCCUUCGGGUUGUAAAGCUCUUUUGUCAGGGAAGAAACGGUUCUGGAUAAUACCUGGGACUAAUGACGGUACCUGAAGAAUAAGCACCGGCUAACUACGUGCCAGCCGCCGCAGUAA
rnacentral:rRNA from 1 species